UUUCGAAUCAUUCACAAUGGGCGCAAGCCUGAUGGUGCGACGCCGCGUGAGGGAUGAAGGUCUUCGGAUUGUAAACCUCUGUCACUGGGGAGAAAACGCUUUGAGUUAAUAGUUCAAAGCCUGAUUUAACCCGGAGAGGAAGCAGUGGCUAACUCUGUGCCAGCAGCCGCGGUAAUACAGAGACUGCAAGCGUUAUUCGGAUUCACUGGGCGUAAAGGGUGCGCAGGCGGUUGGGUGUGUCAGAUGUGAAAUCCCGAGGCUUAACCUCGGAACUGCGUCUGAAACUACUCGACUAGAGUACUGGAGAGGGAAACGGAAUUCACGGUGUAGCAGUGAAAUGCGUAGAUAUCGUGAGGAACACCAGAGGCGAAGGCGGUUUCCUGGACAGUUACUGACGCUCAG
rnacentral:rRNA from 1 species